rnacentral:lncRNA from 1 species
CGUACAUACUACCCUCCCCAGACCCCACUAAGUGGGAUUAUACUGGGUUGUUGUUGUUGAUGGCUAGGACUGAGCAUGACUUUCCGCAGCGUUUGUUGCUUAUCUAGUUUUGAUCUCAGGCAUAUGAAGAUCAAUCCCCAACCAUUGAUGCAACGAUGCGCUUGCAACCAAGAAGUAGUGAGAAAACUGAAAAAGAUUCUGGUGAUGCUAUUCUGACG